rnacentral:lncRNA from 1 species
UUGGUGAAGCAAAUAGACUAUCAUGAACGGCUUGUUGAACAUUUCUACAGAGUCAAGAAAGAAUGAUACAUGUAUGUAUAUAUCAUUUACAAAGUAUUAUAACUCAUUUGUGCUAUCCGCUUACAUUUUUGCAAAAACCACGUGCAUUAAUCAAACAAUCCAUGGGUAUAUGAAAGAAGCAAUACUGGAUAUACCAUAAUUUUAAAUUUUCAAACAUAACCUAUAUAAAUAUAAUUAUGAAAUGGGGUUAAGCUAAGCUAUAAAAAGAAUUUUCCAUUAUAUUUUACCAAAGAGUCAUCAUACAUCAAAUGUCAUUUCUAGAGUAGAAUGUACAGAGCAAAAGUAAUGUCAUGAAUUAGGUGUAUAUCAUAUAUGCUCAAUAACUGCAUAUAGAUAAUGUAUGAGAAGUAGGUGUUACAUAAAAAAUGAGUCAAAAUCCAAAUCCUAAGAGAAACUAACAUGACUGUAAAUUUAUUUGACAGUAUAUCCACCUCUUGUAAACCUUUUAAAAUUAAAUGUUGUAGCUGAAGUUGCUUUAUCAAGCAUAAGGUGCUUCUCCAUAGAUGUUUAUUGAUUACAGCUAUUACACGUAAAUGUCUCAUCAAUCUUUAAACUUGUGUCAAAUUUAACCUCAUCUUCUAUAUUAGUUAGUUUCUUCUUCUCUUUAAAACCCUCUUUAAAAAUAAAUGAAGCUUUAAACCAAGCAAGACUUUACACGGUUAAAAGAGUUCAGUUUUCGAAGUUGUAAAAAGGCAUGGAGAUUUAAACUAACUAAUACAGCUUCAUAGAUUCAAAAGGAUCAGAUAUGUAAGUUCAAAAACUUCUUUAAAAUCCUAUUGAAAAAGUAACCUGCUAAAAAAAAUGAAGAACACCAUUUGUUAAUAAGAAGAUCAAACAAUUUAGCAUAUCUAACAUUAAAAAACACCAUUCAUCUAAGGUCCUUCCAAAACAAUGAAGAAACCUCAUCCCCACCUAUCUAGAAAUAUUAUCCAACAGCCACCGAUCAUCUAACAAACCACCCCCCCUCCUAAUAUAGUUUGCGUUUUGCCACCAUAAAG